UACGACUAGGUAUAAAUACAAUUCCCUAAGCAAGCUGAUGCGCAACCAUAUUUUGUAGAACACUUGACAAAUAACAAUUGAACAUGACACUGCAUAAAACUUCGACAUUCCUAAUUAAUCACUCCAAAAUGAGACCGCAUUGGAGUUGCUGACCUGAUGGCUUGAACCACAACCAAGCAAUCAGACUCGAGGGUAACUCCUAACCAUUUCUUCUAAUCAAUCCAGCUUAAGGCUUCCUUCACAGCUAUGGCCUCCGCAAGAACUGGGCUAAUGCACUCCGACUUCGUUAAGACUUUUGUUUCUAUCAAUCUUCCAUCUGAAUCUCUAGCGACCAUUCCGAAACCAACUUCAGACCUAUCUUCAAAAAUAGUUGCAUCAACGGACACCUUAACUGUGUUUGGUUGGGGCUUUACCCAGGAAGCUAGUAACUCCAUCUCUAUUAGCCUGUGGUUCAAGAAGAAUGCUAGAAGACCUGCUCAGGGCGAUUGUAAAUUGUGUAAGCCUGUGUUUCGCUGCUGCUACUAUCUUGUUAACAGAUGAGAAUUUCUGAUUCCAAACUAGAUCCUUGCGAGCCCUCCAGAUGGCCCAACACAGGGUCUGCUU
rnacentral:lncRNA from 1 species